GGGGGGGGGGGGGGGGGGGGGUGGGGGGGGCGGGGCGGGGGGGGGGGGGGGGGGCGGGCGGCGGUGAUGGUGGCGGCGGACGGGGGGGUGACACGGGGAGGACCUACCUAUAAGACUGGGAUAACUUCGGGAAACCGGAGCGAAUACCGGAUGAUAUUUUGAACCGCAUGGUUCAAAAGUGAAAGACGGUCUUGCUGUCACUUAUAGAUGGAUCCGCGCUGCAUUAGCUAGUUGGUAAGGUAACGGCUUACCAAGGCAACGAUGCAUAGCCGACCUGAGAGGGUGAUCGGCCACACUGGAACUGAGACACGGUCCAGACUCCUACGGGAGGCAGCAGUAGGGAAUCUUCCGCAAUGGGCGAAAGCCUGACGGAGCAACGCCGCGUGAGUGAUGAAGGUCUUCGGAUCGUAAAACUCUGUUAUUAGGGAAGAACAUAUGUGUAAGUAACUGUGCACAUCUUGACGGUACCUAAUCAGAAAGCCACGGCUAACUACG
rnacentral:rRNA from 1 species